rnacentral:rRNA from 1 species
CAGCCGCCGCGGUAAUACGUAGGUCCCGAGCGUUGUCCGGAUUUAUUGGGCGUAAAGGGAGCGCAGGCGGUCAUAUAAGCCCAUCUUAAAAGUGCGGGGCUCAACCCCGUGAGGGGAUGGAAGCUGUAUGCCUUGAGUGUAGGAGAGGAAAGCGGAAUUCCCAGUGUAGCGGUGAAAUGCGUAGAUAUUGGGAGGAACACCAGUGGCGAAGGCGGCUUUCUGGACUGCAACUGACGCUGAGGCUCGAAAGCCAGGGGAGCGAACGGGAUUAGAUACCCCCGUAGUCCCUGUCUCUUAUACA